ensembl:processed_transcript
CUUUCGGAGCUGUGCGGCAGGCUGAGCAGGAAUGGCAAUGUGGACCUCUGUGAUGGGACAACUGGUGGGAUCUCACAUCCAGUUCUGUGUCAAAGGAGGAUGAAGACUAAGGACUCAUGAGGAAGCUGGAUUACUGGACGAGAGCAAUGUAAGCAAUUUUUUUGUAUGCAUGUGGUCCCACUACAAGAGGCCCCUCAACCCACACAUCAAUGUAGAGUUCCAUGAAAGCAAUUGUAGAGAAGAGUGGGUGGGAGAUCUGAAGCCAGACAGGGCAUUGUGUGUCUAGGUAUCUGAAGAGGCUGGUUCUUGAUAACUCUGGGAGCUAGUGUGAUUGAACACAGGAUUUAUAAUUGUGCUAUUUAGACCAGAUUUGGUGGGCACUUUCCCUAUCUUAAGUGCUGAGUCAGGUCUAACAGGGCAGUUUUAACUAUUUGUUUGAUCUUGUAGGUUCUAGAAGGGAAGACCAGAAAAUGAGAUGGUGGAGUUUAAUAAGGCUGGACAGACAGUUUUGAAAGUAAGUAUUGAAAAAUGCUUGAAUCUAGGCCAAUAAAAAGGGACAUGCAGAGAUUUUAAAUCCAUCAAAACUCCAGCAUGCAUUGUCUUUGGGUGUUUAGAUAGGUGUAUUUUGCACAACACUCGGGGUUUUUGUAAUGAUGUUGAUCAAAUGUCUGAGCUGAAUGUAACUUGUAGACAAUUUCUAACACUGAAGAACCCUGUG